rnacentral:rRNA from 1 species
AUUGAACGCUGGCGGCAGGCUUAACACAUGCAAGUCGAGCGGUAACAGAGAGAAGCUUGCUUCUCUGCUGACGAGCGGCGGACGGGUGAGUAAUGCCUAGGAAUCUGCCUAGUAGUGGGGGAUAACUUGCCGAAAGGUAAGCUAAUACCGCAUACGUCCUACGGGAGAAAGGAGGGGACCUUCGGGCCUUUCGCUAUUAGCUGAGCCUAGGUCGGAUUAGUUAGUUGGUGAGGUAAUGGCUCACCAAGACCGCGAUCCGUAACUGGUCUGAGAGGAUGAUCAGUCACACUGGAACUGAGACACGGUCCAGACUCCUACGGGAGGCAGCAGUGGGGAAUAUUGGGCAAUGGGGGGAACCCUGAUCCAGCCAUGCCGCGUGUGUGAAGAAGGUCUUAGGAUUGUAAAGCACUUUAAGUUGGGAGGAAGAGCAGUUAACUAAUAUUUGACUGUUUUGACGUUACCGACAGAAUAAGCACCGGCUAACUUCGUGCCAGCAGCCGCAGUAA